GGCCUCGUGGCCCAAUGGCAAGGCGUCUGACUACGAUUGAAAUCAAUGAUGAAUCGCGAUCAGGAGAUUCUGGGUUCGACCCCCAGCGAGGUCA